UACGUAGGGUGCAAGCGUUAAUCGGAAUUACUGGGCGUAAAGCGUGCGCAGGCGGCUUUGCAAGACAGAUGUGAAAUCCCCGGGCUUAACCUGGGAACUGCAUUUGUGACUGCAUGGCUAGAGUGCGGCAGAGGGGGAUGGAAUUCCGCGGUGUAGCAGUGAAAUGCGUAGAUAUGCGGAGGAACACCGAUGGCGAAGGCAGCCCCCCUGGGCUAACACUGACGCUCAUGCACGAAAGCGUGGGGAGCG
rnacentral:rRNA from 1 species